rnacentral:tRNA from 1 species
CCAGCAGGAGCCGGGCGGUUAGGCAAUGGUCUGUAAAACCAUCAUAAGUAGGUUCAACUCCUACCUGCUGGA